CGUGUGUGCAGACGGGGAGAAGGGAAAAACAACUUUUUAUCGGAGUUGUUUCGAGAUGGCUAUGCAUUUUCAUGGAAUAAGGCUAGUAAGCAUAUAAUUUCUCAAUUGAAUACAGACGGUUGACGUAAACAACCCUCAUCGAAUAUUCAAAACUGGAUUACAAUAAUGAGAUGCAUCCACCAAUCCAAAGAAAGGAUAUGCGGGAGUUAGGCAGCCCGGCGUGUCGCUUUGUGGACAACGACUCUCAUUAUUAGAGCGGAGAGACAUGUAACCUGUCAGUAUAGCCAUAAUCUUUGAUAAAAGUCCAUUAACAAAGAAGUAGACCAGACCCAGCUGCUAUUGCAUUGGUGUCUAUAGGAGACACAUCUAGUAGACUGGAACUUAUCUUUUUUUUUUUUUUUGCAAAACGGCGAGUGAACCAUCUUCAUUUAUCCACCAUCUUUGGUGUGUUCAGAAGGAUGCAGAGUAUGUAAACAAACAACAAUGACAGCCGUAGGCCUGGUUCUUUGCAGCCAGACGUUAGUUCUGCAUAGUUAUCAAGGUAUAUCAGACCCAUAUCCAUCAGUACAGAACACCUGUCGGCUCUGCGGACAAAAUCUGCUCAUCAAAGGGACAUUACAGGCAACACGAAGAAUAUUUGACAAGCCCAAAGCCUCGAAGGACAAAAAGUUAUGUGACAGAUUCCUUGCCACCGGUUUAGUGCUAACUGAGGCACCAGGGGUGAAGUCGGGCAGAAUUUGUGCGAAGUGCUAUCGAGUAUUUCUCAGGAUAGAGGAAUCUGUAAGCAUUUUAAAGAAAUGGCAGUCAGAGCAUCAGACACCGGGGACGAGCAAGAAGAGGAGGCGUGAACUGGAGCCGAGUCCAUCUGAAACAGACAGGGCUGCCAAGAAGACAUCUGAACGGGAGCCGAGUCCAUCUGAAACAGACAAGGGAGCCAAGAAGACAUGUCCUCCCUAUAAAAAGGUUCCCCCGAGGAGCAGUCUUGUCGAGGUUGUCAUAACAUACCCGAACCAAUUGGAUCCAAAGAGGGUCAAGAAGGUUUCAUCAGAAUUUUCUGGAAUGGUUGAAAACCUGGCGAAAGGCAAACUGGCGACAUUUGUCAGGUUAGCCUUGACGAAUGAGACCAUGUGUCAAGAAAUCAGAAAGCAGAUGACGCAGAAAAUAGAAGCAGAGGUCAAGGCAUAUGCAAGACCCUUAAAUUACUUGACCUCUGCUGAACCUUGCAUUUUGAGUAGUACCUCGUUGGAGAAAAUGAAGUAUUUUUCAUACGAAGCGUUGGAUAAUGAGUUGUCCAGGAAGACACCAUGGCUUUAUACCACCAUCAAUACUGCAACAGGUGGUUCCACCAUCCAUAACUGUGUGGCUGCCUCUGUGGUCCUGAGAGGUAGAAACCCCAGGCUUUCUGCACUGGCCUAUGUCAUCAACACAACACUGACCCAAGGGGGGGUUAAGCCCAUUUUCAAAAGACUCUCUAAAAUGGGCAUAACAACCACACAUAGCAAUGUCCUAAAUAAGCAGAAAGAGAUGAAGGCAGCUGGGUACAACAUCAACAUCAAAUGCUGGAGGGAGGACUGUGAGCUGUUUUUCCAACAUAGUGUCAGCGGUGAAGUCUGCCCACGACCUCCUCCUACGGCUAAACCGACAGAGGAGACCGGAAGAGAGGAGGACGGGGGGCCAGUGGAGGAUGAGUUUGAAAUAGAGCUGGACUGGGGUCCACUGGAGGAAGAGGGUGAAGAAGAUGAGGAAGAGUGGAGUCCACUGUCAGAAGAGACAGAAAGAGAGGAGGAUAGAGGAUCAACAGUACAGGAAGAGAGAGAAGAAGAGAAAGACAGGGGUUCCCUGCUAGGAGAGACAGAAACAGAGGAAGCGGGACAUGCAUCAUCAGCACUACAAGGAAAUGACACACAGGAAGAGGACUCUGAUUCAACGGUGGAUUCAGAGACGGAAUACUUUGGAUUAAACCUCACCUGUGAGAGUGAUUAGAGAAGUAGCCUAACAAAGAGUCUGUAGAUUACAGAUCUAGGCCUAGGCUACAUCUCUGAACAACAAGGAACUAAUCAUAGUCUCUGGCCAAAAUGGCACCCUAUUCCCCUAUAUAGUGCACUACUUUUGACCAGACCCUAUGGAGUAACAAGUGCACUACUUUUCACCUGGGCCAUUUGGGACAGAAUCAUACAGUGAAAUUACUCCUGUUGAGGGGGUCAGGAUGUGAUGUCUACUGUUCCUGGUGUGUAUUGAGGGGGUCAGGAUGUGAGGUCUACUGUUCCUGGUGUGUGUACAGUGUGUUUACAACCAUAUUAAAGAGACCAGUUCAAUUCAAACUUUAUUGUCCCAGCAGGGAGUAUUUCAUUGUGUAGCUAAGAGUACAUAGCUGCUCAACAAAAACUUCAAUUUUUGUUAUUUGGUACUCCCCAAAAUGGCACCCUAUUCCCUAAUAUAGUGCACGACUUACCCCAUAGGGCUCUGGUCAAAAGUAGUGCACUAGUUACUCCAUAGGGCUCUGGUCAAAAGUAGUGCACUAGUUACUCCAUAGGGCCCUGGUCAAAAGUAGUGCACUAGUUACUCCAUAGGGCUCUGGUCAAAAGUAG
ensembl:lncRNA